CAGAGGUCUCAAGCGUUGUUCGGAUUCAUUGGGCGUAAAGGGUGCGUAGGCGGCGCGGUAAGUCGGGUGUGAAAUCUCGGAGCUUAACUCCGAAACUGCAUUCGAUACCGCCGUGCUUGAGGACUGGAGAGGAGACUGGAAUUUACGGUGUAGCGGUGAAAUGCGUAGAUAUCGUAAGGAAGACCAGUGGCGAAGGCGGGUCUCUGGACAGUUCCUGACGCUGAGGCACGAAGGUCAGGGGAGCAAACGGGAUUAGAUACCCCGGUAGUCCUGACAGUAAACGGUGCACGUUUGGUGUGGGAGGAUUCGACCCCUUCUGCGCCGGAGCUAACGCGUUAAACGUGCCGCCUGGGGAGUACGGUCGCAAGAUUA
rnacentral:rRNA from 1 species